rnacentral:rRNA from 1 species
CUCACGGUGGAUACCUUGGCACACAGAGGCGAUGAAGGACGUGGUUACCUGCGAUAAGUCUCGGGGAGCUGGAAACACGCUUUGAUCCGGGAAUUUCCGAAUGGGGCAACCCCUAGAACGGCCGCCUGAAUCCAUAGGGCGGUGCGAGCCAACCCAGCGAACUGAAACAUCUUAGUAGCUGGAGGAAAGGAAAGUAAAAACGACUCCCUCAGUAGCGGCGAGCGAACGGGGAAGAGCCUAAACCGAUGGUUUCGACCAUCGGGGUUGUGGGACAGCAAUGUGGACCAACAAACCUAGAAGAAGCGUUUGAAUGGCGCGCCACAGAGGGUGAAAGCCCCGUAUUCGAAAGGAGCGUUGGCCUAGCUGGAUCCCGAGUAGCACGGAGCACGUGAAAUUCCGUGUGAAUCCGCGAGGACCACCUCGUAAGGCUAAGUACUCCUGUGUGACCGAUAGCGCAACAGUACCGCGAGGGAAAGGUGAAAAGAACCCCGGGAGGGGAGUGAAAUAGAACAUGAAACCGUGAGCUUACAAGCAAUGGGAGCCCGACUGAUCGGGUGACCGUGUGCCUGUUGAAGAAUGAGCCGGCGACUUAUAGGCACUGGCAGGUUAAACCGGGAAUGGUGGAGCCAUAGCGAAAGCGAGUCUGAAUAGGGCGAUUGUCAGUGUUUAUAGACCCGAACCCGGGUGAUCUAACCAUGGCCAGGAUGAAGCUUGGGUGAUACCAAGUGGAGGUCCGAACCGACUGAUGUUGAAAAAUCAGCGGAUGAGCUGUGGUUAGGGGUGAAAUGCCAAUCGAACCCGGAGCUAGCUGGUUCUCCCCGAAAUACGUUGAGGCGUAGCGUCUAGUGCUCCAGCAGGGGGGUAAAGCCACUGUUUCGGUGCGGGCUGCGAGAGCGGUACCAAAUCGAGACAAACUCUGAAUACCCUGUGUGUAACUAGGCAGUCAGACUGUGGGGGAUAAGCUCCAUGGUCGAAAGGGAAACAGCCCAGACCGCCAGCUAAGGUCCCCAAAUCAACGCUCAGUGAUAAAGGAGGUGGGAUUGCCCAGACAACCAGGAGGUUUGCCUAGAAGCAGCCAUCCUCAAAGGAGUGCGUAAUAGCUCACUGGUCGAGCGAUCCUGCGCCGAAAAUGAACGGGGCUAAGCGUUGUACCGAAGCUGCGGAUUAAACUUGUUUAAUGGUAGGGGAGCGUUCCAUGUGGGGUGAAGCGUUAGCGUAAGCGGGCGUGGACUGCAUGGAAGUGAGAAUGUCGGCUUGAGUAGCGAAAACAUGGGUGAGAAUCCCAUGCCCCGAAACCCUAAGGGUUCCUCCGGCAGGCUCGUCCGCGGAGGGUUAGUCAGGACCUAAGGCGAGGCCGAAAGGCGUAGUCGAUGGACAACAGGUCAACAUUCCUGUACUGAUCAUGUUUUGGGAAGGGGGACGGAGAAGGCUAGCCAAUCCGGAUGUUGGUUACCGGUCCAAGCGUUCGAGGCGUUGAGAGCUGGCGAAAACAGCUUGAGCUGAGGCGUGAGUGCGAGCUUCUACGGAAGCGAAGUUGGUGACGUCAAGCUUCCAAGAAAAGCCCUAUACCCGUUAAGGCAUGAUUACCUGUACCCGAAACCGACACAGGUGGGGUGGUAGAGAAUACCGAGGGGCGCGAGGUAACUCUCUCUAAGGAACUCGGCAAAAUGACCCCGUAACUUCGGGAGAAGGGGUGCCAGCGCGAGCUGGUCGCAGUGAAUAGGCCCAGGCGACUGUUUACCAAAAACACAGGUCUCCGCUAAGUCGCAAGACGAUGUAUGGGGGCUGACGCCUGCCCAGUGCCGGAAGGUUAAGGAAGCUGGUCAGCGCAAGCGAAGCUGGCGACUGAAGCCCCGGUGAACGGCGGCCGUAACUAUAACGGUCCUAAGGUAGCGAAAUUCCUUGUCGGGUAAGUUCCGACC